rnacentral:lncRNA from 1 species
CCAUCACAGCCUCUGGGCCAACCCUGCCCGAGGGUUUCUUUCCACCCCUGUGUCCGGCUGUGAUGCACUCGAGGGACGCGCAGUAGCCACGCAGGAACAAGCCUAUGGGACCAUGUAGGCGCUUAUGAAGUUGCCAGUGCUGCUCUUCUGAAUGGAGACCUCGGGACUCUGGGGAGGAACAGUGAGUCAAAGGCAUCACCAACCACUGCCACUCCCACCCCCACCAACCUGAUGCUUGGAUCUGCACCUUUUUCAUGCCCUUCCCAAGCCUGCAUGGACUUUCCAUCAUCCUGUGAUGCCACC